rnacentral:lncRNA from 1 species
UGGCUAUCUCAUCUUUAGCUAGUACCCACCUUAAAACCCUAAAGCCUUUGUUCUGCUCUCAUGCAUUUGUUAUUCAGUAUCUUAUGUGCAGAUAUGUGCAAAAGGGCCAGAGAGGAAAGGAUCGACGCAGUCUCUUACUCGUUGAUACAACAGAAGUUUCUGCUAAAGAAUAGGCGGAAGCACGCGUCUGGGAACCAAAAUUCGCACUGUCGAUUUCCGUUUAAAUUAGGAAAGUAGGAGAACCCUAGUUUCCUAGAAGUCUCGGAUAUCUGCUAAUACCACACGCUAAGCAAUCAGAAC